UACGUAGGGUGCGAGCGUUGUCCGGAAUUAUUGGGCGUAAAGGGCUCGUAGGCGGUUUGUCGCGUCGGGAGUGAAAUCCAUUGGCUUAACUGGUGGCUUGCUUUCGAUACGGGCAGACUGGAGGUAUGCAGGGGAGAACGGAAUUCCUGGUGUAGCGGUGAAAUGCGCAGAUAUCAGGAGGAACACCGGUGGCGAAGGCGGGUCUCUGGGCCGAUAUUGACGCUGAGGGGCGAAAGCGUGGGGAGCGAACAGG
rnacentral:rRNA from 1 species